AAACUCAAAGGAAUUGACGGGACCCCGCACAAGCGGUGGAUUUAUGUUUGUUUAAUUUCGACGCAACGCGAAGAACCUUACCAGGCCUUGACAUACUCGGCAAAGCUCUAGAGAUAGAGUGGAGGUUAUCCGGGAUACAGGUGGUGCAUGGUUGUCGUCAGCUCGUGUCGUGAGAUGUUGGGUUAAGUCCCGCAACGAGCGCAACCCUUAUUGUUAGUUGCUACGCAAGAGCACUCUAGCGAGACUGCCGUUGGCAAAACGGAGGAAGGUGGGGACGACGUCAAAUCGUCAUGCCCCUUAUGUCCUGGGCCACACACGUACUACAAUGGCGGUAAACAGAGGGAAGCAAGACCGCGAGGUGGAGCAAAUCCCUAAAAGCCGUCCCAGUUCGGAUUGCAGGCUGAAACUCGCCUGUAUGAAAUUGGAAUCGCUAGUAAUCGCGGAUCAGCAUGCCGCGGUGAAUACGUUCCCGGGCCUU
rnacentral:rRNA from 1 species